rnacentral:lncRNA from 1 species
UGGAAACAAAAUGUCCAUCAAGGCAUUUUUCUAGACAAUAGAACCUUCGAAUCCCUGCGAUUAAUUUUGCCGUACCUCUAGAAAGCUGAAAGUCUGCAGCCAGCUUUUCUUUAAAAUAGUCAUAACAUCCCUUCCUGCUCUGCCCUACUGACGUCAAAGCUUUUAGUGAAAUCUUUUCCUUGGUCUUCUCUCCUGCCACAGGAAAGAGAAGAGGAUGGGAGCAGAGCUGAGAUGGAUGCUAGAUAAACAGCCAGGAGUGUCCAAUUCUAAGGGUCCAAGUUAGAACCCAAGGAUGUCCCUUCUAGAAGCUUCCAGAUGAUUCAUGAACCACACUCGGAGAAUCUUGGCCCACUCCAUGCUGCAUGUGUAAGUAAUCAUUCACAUUCACUCCUUCACCCCAUGCUAGAGGUAGAAAUUCCAGAAACCACCACAGGCUGAGGAGGGAAUUUUUGAAGUCCCAG